ACGGGUGAGUAAUAUAUUGGAACGUACCGAGUAAUGGGGGAUAACUAUCCGAAAGGAUAGCUAAUACCGCAUACGCUUUGAGAAGGAAAGCAGGGGAUCUUCGGACCUUGCGUUAUUCGAGCGGCCAAUAACUGAUUAGCUAGUUGGUGGGGUAAGGGCCUACCAAGGCGACGAUCAGUAGCGGGUCUGAGAGGAUGAUCCGCCACACUGGGACUGAGACACGGCCCAGACUCCUACGGGAGGCAGCAGUGGGGAAUUUUGGACAAUGGGCGCAAGCCUGAUCCAGCCAUGCCGCGUGUAUGAAGAAGGCCUUAGGGUUGUAAAGUACUUUUGUUAGGGAAGAAAAGGGAAGUGCUAAUACCACUUUUUGCUGACGGUACCUAAAGAAUAAGCACCGGCUAACUACGUGCCAGCAGCCGCGGUAAUACGUAGGGUGCGAGCGUUAAUCGGAAUUACUGGGCGUAAAGCGAGCGCAGACGGUUACUUAAGCAAGAUGUGAAAUCCCUGAGCUCAACUUGGGAACUGCGUUUUGAACUGGGUAGCUAGAGUGUGUCAGAGGGGGGUAGAAUUCCACGUGUAGCAGUGAAAUGCGUAGAGAUGUGGAGGAAUACCGAUGGCGAAGGCAGCCUCCUGGGAUAACACUGACGUUCAUGCUCGAAAGCGUGGGUAGCAAACAGGAUUAGAUACCCUGGUAGUCCACGCCCUAAAC
rnacentral:rRNA from 1 species